rnacentral:rRNA from 1 species
AAAUUGAAGAGUUUGAUCAUGGCUCAGAUUGAACGCUGGCGGCAGGCCUAACACAUGCAAGUCGAGCGGUAACACAGGGAGCUUGCUCCCGGGUGACGAGCGGCGGACGGGUGAGUAAUGUCUGGGAAACUGCCUGAUGGAGGGGGAUAAC